GUCCCUGUAGUGCAAUGGAUAGCGCGUUUAACUUCUAAUUCAAAGGUAGUGGGCUCGAAUCCCACGAGGGAUG